AUGGUGGUCACCCACCGAGGAAGGAGCCAUCCCCCGACCUCGUUUUACCUAUCAAAGGGGAUGCGGGCGGGGGUGCAUGCUCAUACCAACCUCCCCCAUCUUGUCUUCUGGUGUUACGUCUUUAUCAUGGUGAGGGGAGGGGAAGGAGGGCGUGUCCGCGUAGGGUCCCCUUCCUGCCAUCGCGCGAAGCAUCUGGCCUGGAAUGUCGGUCCGGUGCUUAGCUCUCUGACCUCUUUAAGAAUCAACCCGGAGUCCCCAAUAGCCCGAGCGCCUCUCCUUCUCACGAGCGGAUCCGCCGCUGCCCUCGCCCCCGUCGUCGCCCCACCACUGCUCGCCGAUCCGCCGACUCCAUCGCCGUUCCUCUCUGGCCUCCGCCACCGCCGGCUCUCUCCGCCCUCCGUCGCGCUGUUCUUCUUCCUCUCCCCAUCCUCUCCUAAUCUUCUCCGGCGCGCGCACUCGCGGAUGCAGGCGAAUGGCUCGGGCAGGAGACGUGGCUCACAACGGCGGCGUCUCUCCUCGGGAGGAGCUCGGGCAUUGAGGUCGGGGUGUGCGCUGCCCCUAGGACGGAGUCCACCUACCCGUGCUGGUCAUGGUCCACCACCACCAUGCCUUCAAUCCGACCUCCACCACUCCAGCAAGCACGAGCAUCGCAAUGGCCACGGUUUGUAUGCUAAGAUGAACUUGAGUGACGAGGUUGAUUUGGAAGAUCAUGUCUCCAGACAGGAUAAAGUCAGUGCUGCUAUGAAGCUAGCAUGCCUGUUGUCUGCAAAAAUCGGUAAUGUUAUCCUGCCCAAAGACUUCGAGAAGGUAAUAUCCCUGUAUCUUGGUGCUCCUGUAGUUUGCACAUUCAAUCUCACCAUUGUUGUUAAGCUACUUGCCUACACAAAGCGUCAUGGGAGUUGCUUCCCUGUGAGAGAGAAGAGUUCAAAAAGGGAGAGAGCAAAGAAGAAGGAAAAGGAGAGGGCAGUGGGGUCAUGCGGAGACUGUGGCCGAUUUUUCAGAGAAGAAAGAACUCUAGAGAGAUGCAAACUACAGGUUGCAGAAGGUGAUGUACCAAUUGCAUCACAUGGAGCUGAAAUUGAAAUGUACAAGGAGCUUGAACCAUCGACUCGCUUACUGAUCUUGAAAGCGAUAUGCGACAUACGUGUCGAGGCAUUCAGACGCCUGGCCAAAGAAAAUUCUUUAGCACAUCCCAUUGUGGAUUUCAACUGCUAUUCCCCUGGAUCCCACUCCCCCUACCAUUAUAUUCCUAUUUCGAGGGUGCGAACGGGGACAAUGAGUAGGUGGCGAGUAAUACUAUGUCGAGAAUCGAUACAGGGGCAUGAAGCAAGCGAGCAGAACAUAACAGCUGCCACAGUUUACCCAUUGAUUUCCUGGAGUGAUUCAAACCUAGGAAAGUCUGCUACUUGUGCAAGCAACAGGUUGUGUUAA
rnacentral:rRNA from 1 species